AGCGUAGACGGAAUGGCAAGUCUGAUGUGAAAGGUCGGGGCUCAACCCCGGGACUGCAUUGGAAACUGUCAAUCUAGAGUACCGGAGGGGUAAGUGGAAUUCCUAGUGUAGCGGUGAAAUGCGUAGAUAUUAGGAGGAACACCAGUGGCGAAGGCGGCUUGCUGGACGAUGACUGACGUUGAGGCUCGAAAGCGUGGGGAGCAAACA
rnacentral:rRNA from 1 species